GAUGAACGCUAGCGGCAGGCCUAAUACAUGCAAGUCGGACGGGAUUCAGGAGCUUGCUUCUGAUGAGAGUGGCGCACGGGUGCGUAACACGUAUGUAACCUACCUUUAUCAGGGGGAUAGCCUCUCGAAAGAGAGAUUAAGCCCGCAUAAAAUCACAGCACAGCAUUGUGUAAUGAUCAAAUAUUUAUAGGAUAAAGAUGGGCAUGCGGAACAUUAGCUAGAUGGCGGGGUAACGGCCCACCAUGGCGACGAUGUUUAGGGGAUCUGAGAGGAUGGCCCCCCACACUGGUACUGAGACACGGACCAGACGCCUACGGGAGGCAGCAGUAAGGAAUAUUGGUCAAUGGGCGGAAGCCUGAACCGGCCAUGCCGCGUGCAGGAAGACGGCCCUACGGGUUGUAAACUGCUUUUAUACGGGAAUAAACCCAGAUACGUGUAUCUGGCUGAAUGUACUGUAAGAAUAAGGAUCGGCUAACUCCGUG
rnacentral:rRNA from 1 species